UGCCCAGCUUGAUGAUGAAAGGAGUUACACUACUGAAAUCUACUUUUUUUUUUUUAACCAGAUACAUCUAACUCCAGUACUUUCUGCUCGUUGUCCUUCACACCCUAGCAUUUCUCUAGCUCCCAUGAAGGCAGUGGGGAGCUGGCUAGUCCCACUCAUUGGGAAAGAAAAGUGGAACCUGCUCCUACAGGUGAGCCACCACCUGUUCCUGAUGCAGUGUAAGCCUGGGUUCAGCACAGCUGGGUGCUAGGCCAAGGUACGACCUCCUGGAGCUGCUCUCUUCUACGUCAUCUGACUGCAUUGCCAACAGCUCUUCUCUAGUUCCAGAAUUACUGACCAACACAAAGUAUGUAUGGAAAAUAUAAAGAUGACAGGAAAAAUGCCUGAAUAAAUAUGCUCUUUUACAUGGCAAACUUUUGGCUCAAGAAGAGAGAACAUUCGUCUUUUUCAAGAGAAAUGGAAGAAAAGGCAAGCAAGAAAGUAUGGAAGGGAAAGUGAGAUAAAGAAAGCAAGCUUCAGCCUGAGGAAGAACUGCUGUUGGAACAGAAAAAGGCAGAUGAGAGUGAGGAGUGGACGUGAGCACAGUAAGUUUGUAAGUGAUGCAUUUCAGCAUUGGCGACAGCGAUGUGAAAGACAAGACACGUUCUGGAUGGUCGUGCUCAUCUGUCACACUACAAAAUGAAGAGUAUAUCAUUUCAUCCCUGUGAAUCAUCAGAUUAUGACCAGACAGCUUUGUGUGAAGCUUCAGUGUGUUGAA